CAUGCAAAGAGAUUUAAAAGAAU
rnacentral:snRNA from 1 species